rnacentral:rRNA from 1 species
AACGAACGCUGGCGGCAUGCCUAACACAUGCAAGUCGAACGAGACCUUCGGGUCUAGUGGCGCACGGGUGCGUAACGCGUGGGAACCUUCCCUUAGGUUCGGAAUAACUCCCCGAAAGGGGUGCUAAUACCGGAUAAUGUCUUCGGACCAAAGAUUUAUCGCCUUUGGAUGGGCCCGCGUUGGAUUAGCUAGUUGGUAGGGUAAAAGCCUACCAAGGCGACGAUCCAUAGCUGGUCUGAGAGGAUGAUCAGCCACACUGGGACUGAGACACGGCCCAGACUCCUACGGGAGGCAGCAGUGGGGAAUAUUGGACAAUGGGCGAAAGCCUGAUCCAGCAAUGCCGCGUGAGUGAUGAAGGCCUUAGGGUUGUAAAGCUCUUUUACCCGGGAUGAUAAUGACAGUACCGGGAGAAUAAGAUCCGGCUAACUCCGUG